GGAACUGAGGUGAUGAUUGGAUUUAUUUGCUACUCUUAAUGGUUGUGGUGACACACAAUACCACCAAGAUCUCUGAUUCC
rnacentral:snoRNA from 1 species